GGCAUCUGAUCUCAUUGCAGAUGGUUGUGAGCCACCAUGUGAUUGCUGGGAAUUGAACCCAGGACCUCUGGAAGAGCAGUCACUGCUCUUAACCACUGAGCAUGUCUCCAGCCCCUACAUAAUUUUUUUAAAAAAUAUAAUUUAAGAAAGAUUUGUUUGUAUAGGCAUGGGUUUUUUGGUUUUGUUUUGUUUUUUUUUCCAUUCAUAUGUCUGUGUACCACAUACAUGCAAUGCCCAGAGACAAGAUGAACUCGAGUCACCAACCUGGCUCCUCUGAAAGACUAGGCAGUGCUCUUAACUGCUGAGCGAUCUUUCCAGCCACUUUCCAAGAAUAGUAUUAAUUCUAUGACAAUUCAACUAUGGCCAGGUGGUGGUGGUGCACAUCUUUAAUCCCAGCAUGCAGGAGGCAGAGGCGGAGGCAGGAGGAUCUCUGAGUUUGAGGACAGUCUAGUCUACAGAGCGAGUUCCAGAAUAGCCAGGGCCACACAGGAAAAACCUGCCUCAAAAGAAGAAACAAAGCAAAACUGAGCUAUGAGCUGAUUCAGGCCUAUUACCUCUCAGUCAUAAUCCUAAACCACUCAAAAUAGUGGAAUUGUGUUAUAAGUUAUUUCAGACUUACAAAAAAAUGUUUGUUUUCUUUCAAGACAGGGUUUCUCUGGAGGCUGCCCUGGAACUCACUCUGUUGACCAGGCAGCCUCCAAACUCAGAGCCCUGCCUGCUUCCACCUCAUAAAUUUAAAGGUUAUGGGUAUGAUAUACAUAAUGUGAUACAUGUUUUGCCUACACUUCAGAGCCUGGUGCCUGUGGAGACCAGAGUAGGUAUUUGAUCCCAUAGAUACAGAGUUUGUGGAGUUACAGGAGGUUGUGAGUGCAAGGACUCAAAUAUUUCGUCCUUUAAAGAGUAGACAGUGAGUACUCUUACUGCUGGGGGCCUCUCUGACUCACAGACCUGAGGCUAGGUCCUGCAGAUGGAUGGCCAGGCUCCUGAAUGCAGUCUUAUAACCGUGUGCCUCAGCAGCCUGGCUGGCCAUGCACUGGCGGGCAAUGGCCGACCUGUUUUUAUCUCGUGGAGAUUCUAACUCAGAACUCCACCCAGCUUGCUAGGUUCCCACUGGCAGUUGCUACCACGCCAGCACCGUGCUUCAAAUCCCCCCACAGUCUUUGUGGUGUACCUCAGGCAGACCCGGCACUUUACCACUGUACCUUUCUUGAACCCAGGCGAGCCACUACGUGAAGGAAAACACAACACAAACUCAGUUCAGAAACAAUGGUAACUCAAUCUCUGAGUGCAACAACUAAAACCUAAUCUUGUGAGCCUUAUUAAAAACUGAUUCCUCUAGUGAAUCCUUGCGGAUCCGCCAUGAAACAGGAAAACUCUAGCAGCUACAUCUUACCCCUCGGCUGUCCCAUUCCAAACGGGACCUAACUCGCCCCCCCUGCUACCUAUUUUUUUCUCUCUCCAACCCAGCAGUCCCGUCUACUCGCCCAGUGAUUGGCUCCCCUAUUCACUAGGUGAUUGGUUCACAAGAACAGCACCCGGCCCAUCCGCAACAUAGGUAAGUGCUUUCUGAACAGUUUAAAUGUUGCAGACAGGCUUAUUGACAGGGGAAGGUAAAACAGCAAGACUGAUGCCCUGAAUUCCAUCCCACACGAUAGACGGAGAGAAUCAACUUAUACAAAUUAAUUCUCAUCUGAUGUCUACAAGUGUCCUAGCACGUGCACACACCCCACGCCCAAACAAAAACAAAUAAAUAAAAGUGUCACG
rnacentral:lncRNA from 1 species